GAUAAUUCAAUGAUGUGAUUGGCAGGAUCAUGACCAUUAGUUAACAGUUGAAUGUCUUUGGCCAUAGUACACUGACAGGCAAUUGAUUGGUAUGAUCAUGACCAUUGGUUUUAUAGUUGAAUAUCUUUGUCCCGUAGUGCAAAGAUAUACAACUGAUUGGUAUGAUCAUUAUUAUUACAUUUGAAUAUCUUUAGCCUUUG
rnacentral:lncRNA from 1 species